GACGAACGCUGGCGGCGUGCCUAAUACAUGCAAGUUGAGCGCUGAAGGUUGGUACUUGUACCAACUGGAUGAGCAGCGAACGGGUGAGUAACGCGUGGGGAAUCUGCCUUUGAGCGGGGGACAACAUUUGGAAACGAAUGCUAAUACCGCAUAAAAACUUUAAACACAAGUUUUAAGUUUGAAAGAUGCAAUUGCAUCACUCAAAGAUGAUCCCGCGUUGUAUUAGCUAGUUGGUGAGGUAAAGGCUCACCAAGGCGAUGAUACAUAGCCGACCUGAGAGGGUGAUCGGCCACAUUGGGACGGAGACACGGCCCAAACGCCUACGGGAGGCAGCAGGAGGGAAUCUUCGGCAAUGGACGAAAGUCUGACCGAGCAACGCCGCGUGAGUGAAGAAGGUUUUCGGAUCGUAAAACUCUGUUGGUAGAGAAGAACGUUGGUGAGAGUGGAAAGCUCAUCAAGUGACGGUAACUACCCAGAAAGGGACGGCUAACUACGUG
rnacentral:rRNA from 1 species